GAUGAAGAACGUAGUGAAAUGCGAUAAGUAAUGUGAAUUGCAGAAUUCAGUGAAUCAUCGAAUCUUUGAACGCACAUUGCGCCCGCCAGCAUUCUGGCGGGCAUGCCUGUUCGAGCGUCAUUUCAACCCUCGAGCCCCCCCGGGGCCUCGGUGUUGGGGGACGGCACACCAGCCGCCCCCGAAAUGCAGUGGCGACCCCGCCGCAGCCUCCCCUGCGUAGUAGCACACACCUCGCACCGGAGCGCGGAGGCGGUCACGCCGUAAAACGCCCAACUUUCUUAGAGUUGACCUCGGAUCAGGUAGGAAUACCCGCUGAACUUAAGCAUAUCAAUAAGCGGAGGA
rnacentral:misc_RNA from 1 species